rnacentral:ncRNA from 1 species
GUUGAUAGAGGUGCGAGUAUAAAUAGUAAUCAUGAGGAGUAGGCAUGCAUUGAUCCAUGAUAAAAGGGAUGCUUGCCGAAGUUCGGUGAUUGCGACUCAUCGUUCUGGUUGUCUAUUUAAUAGAUAGACGACUGUCAUCAAUUUGAAUUGGUGGAGUGCUAUCA